rnacentral:rRNA from 1 species
UGGCUGUCGUCAGCUCGUGUCGUGAGAUGUUGGGUUAAGUCCGUAACGAGCGCAACCCUUGUCCUUAGUUACCAGCACGUUAUGGUGGGCGACUCUAAGGAGACUGCCGGUGACAAACCGGAGGAAGGUGGGGAUGACGUCAAGUCAUCAUGGCCCUUACGGCCUGGGCUACACACGUGCUACAAUGGUCGGUACAAAGGGUUGCCAAGCCGCGAGGUGGAGCUAAUCCCAUAAAACCGAUCGUAGUCCGGAUCGCAGUCUGCAACUCGACUGCGUGAAGUCGGAAUCGCUAGUAAUCGUGAAUCAGAAUGUCACGGUGAAUACGUUCCCGGGCCUU